ACAGCCACUUUUUUCCAAAACUAUAAGAACUAUACUGUUGAAACUUGGUAAGUAGAUGUAUUCUGUGAACCGCAUUAAGAUUCUCAUACAAAAAUAGAAAUAAAACAAUAAAUUUUGGGGAAUGAUAAAACUAAAAAAAAUAUAUGAUGUACAUUACCAUGCAAACUUCCACCAAAAAUUGGUUUGAACGAAAUCUAGUAAGUAGUUU